rnacentral:lncRNA from 1 species
GGCAUGUUGUGGCUUCGUUCUCACUGGUUUUGAAGAACUUUUUUAUUUCUGCCCUCAUUUCAUUGUUUAUCCAGUCAACAUUCAAGAGCCAGUUGUUUAGUUUCCAUGAAGCUGUGUGGUUUUAGGUUGGUUUCUGAAUUCUGAGUUCUAACUUGAUUGCACUAUGGUCUGAGAGGCUGUUUGUUAUGAUUUCAGUUGUUUUGCAUUUGCUGAAAAGUGCUUUACUUCCAAUUAUGUGGUCAAUUUUAGAGUAGGUGUGAUGUGGUGCUGAGAAGAAUGUGUAUUCUGUGGAUUUGGGGUGGAGAGUUCUGUAAAUGUCUAUCAGGUUUGCUUGCUCCAGGUCUGAGUUCAAGCCCUGGAUAUCCUUGUUGAUUUUCUGUCUGGUUGAUCUGUCUAAUAUUGAAAGUGGAGUGUUAAAGUCUCCCACUAUUAUUGUGUGGGAGUCUAAGUCUCUUUGUAAGUCGUUAAGAACUUGCCUUAUGUAUCUGGGUGCUCCUGUAUUGGGUCCAUAUAUGUUUAGGAUCGUUAGCUCUUCUUGUUGUAUCGAUCCUUUUACCAUUAUAUAAUGGCCUUCUUUGUCUCUUUUGAUCUUUGUUGCUUUAAAGUCUAUUUUAUCAGAGAUGAGGAUUUCAACUCCUGCUUUCUUUUGCUCUUCAUUUGCUUGGUAAAUCUUCCUGUAUCCCUUUAUUUUGAGCCUUUGUGUAUCCUUGCAUGUGAGAUGGGUUUCCUGGAUACAGCACACUGCUGGGUUUUGGCUUUUUGUCCAAUUUGCCAGUCUGUGUCUUUUGAUUGGUGCAUUUAGUCCAUUUGCAUUUAGGGUUAAUAUUGUUAUAUGUGAAUUCGACACUGCCAUUUUGAUGCUAGCUGGCUGUUUUGCCCGUUAGUUGUUGUAGAUUCUUCAUUAUGUUGAUGCUCUUUAGCAUUUAGUGUGAUUUUGGAAUGGCUGGUACUGGUUGUUCCUUUCUAUGUGUAGUGCCUCUUUUAGGAGCUCUUGUAAAGUAGGCCUGGUGGUGACAAAAUCUCUGAGUGCUUGCUUG